CUUGGCCCUUGCCACAAAGAAUAUUGCUGAUUCAAGCAAGGACUUUUGCUGAUUCUGUAGCAUGGCAGUUUCUCAACAACUACUAUAUCUUACCUUAUUUUUCUUCUUCAACAGGGCAAAAUAAAAACUCCAGUUUAUUUGGCAAUUACACAAGAUUUUCAAUCAUCUCUGAAACAUGUUUGUUGCUUACAGUUUGCAAAGCAGCUUCUUUUGGGAGGAGGGGAAGAAGAGGAUGUGUGGACUUACACAGCUCUUAGAUGAAGAGUGAUUUUUAGGAAAGUUGAUGAGGAAGCACUUUCAUAUUCUAGUUGGGGAUGAAGAAUCACAAACGUCUCCAAUCCAA
rnacentral:lncRNA from 1 species